rnacentral:rRNA from 1 species
UACGAAGGGGACUAGCGUUGUUCGGAAUUACUGGGCGUAAAGGGCUCGUAGGCGGCCAACUAAGUCGGAUGUGAAAUCCCCAGGCUUAACCUGGGAAUUGCAUCCGAUACUGGAUGGCUUGAGUCCGGGAGAGGGAUGCGGAAUUCCCGGUGUAGCGGUGAAAUGCGUAGAUAUCUGGAGGAACACCGGUGGCGAAGGCGGCAUCCUGGACCGGCAUUGACGCUGAGGAGCGAAAGCCAGGGGAGCAAACGGG